rnacentral:rRNA from 1 species
CGGACGGGUGAGUAACGCGUGGGCAACCUGCCUCAUACAGGGGGAUAACAGUUAGAAAUGACUGCUAAUACCGCAUAAGACCACGGUACUGCAUGGUACAGUGGUAAAAACUCCGGUGGUAUGAGAUGGGCCCGCGUCUGAUUAGCUAGUUGGUGAGGUAACGGCUCACCAAGGCAACGAUCAGUAGCCGACCUGAGAGGGUGACCGGCCACAUUGGGACUGAGACACGGCCCAAACUCCUACGGGAGGCAGCAG